GGGACACGUGGUAUCCUGUCUGAAUAUGGGGGGACCAUCCUCCAAGGCUAAAUACUCCUGACUGACCGAUAGUGAACCAGUACCGUGAGGGAAAGGCGAAAAGAACCCCGGCGAGGGGAGUGAAAAAGAACCUGAAACCGUGUACGUACAAGCAGUGGGAGCCUCUUUUAUGGGGUGACUGCGUACCUUUUGUAUAAUGGGUCAGCGACUUAUAUUCUGUAGCAAGGUUAACCGAAUAGGGGAGCCGAAGGGAAACCGAGUCUUAACUGGGCGUUAAGUUGCAGGGUAUAGACCCGAAACCCGGUGAUCUAGCCAUGGGCAGGUUGAAGGUUGGGUAACACUAACUGGAGGACCGAACCGACUAAUGUUGAAAAAUUAGCGGAUGACUUGUGGCUGGGGGUGAAAGGCCAAUCAAACCGGGAGAUAGCUGGUUCUCCCCGAAAGCUAUUUAGGUAGCGCCUCGUGAACUCAUCUCCGGGGGUAGAGCACUGUUUCGGCAAGGGGGUCAUCCCGACUUACCAACCCGAUGCAAACUGCGAAUACCGGAGAAUGUUAUCACGGGAGACACACGGCGGGUGCUAACGUCCGUCGUGAAGAGGGAAACAACCCAGACCGCCAGCUAAGGUCCCAAAGUCAUGGUUAAGUGGGAAACGAUGUGGGAAGGCCCAGACAGCCAGGAUGUUGGCUUAGAAGCAGCCAUCAUUUAAAGAAAGCGUAAUAGCUCACUGGUCGAGUCGGCCUGCGCGGAAGAUGUAACGGGGCUAAACCAUG
rnacentral:rRNA from 2 species